rnacentral:rRNA from 1 species
UACGAAGGGGGCUAGCGUUGUUCGGAAUUACUGGGCGUAAAGCGCGCGCAGGCGGUCUUCCAAGUCAGUGGUGAAAGCCCGGAGCUCAACUCCGGAAUUGCCAUUGAAACUGUGAGACUGGAGUACGAGAGAGGUGAGUGGAAUUCCCAGUGUAGAGGUGAAAUUCGUAGAUAUUGGGAAGAACACCAGUGGCGAAGGCGGCUCACUGGCUCGUAACUGACGCUCAGGCGCGACAGCGUGGGGAUCAAACAGG